rnacentral:rRNA from 1 species
GACAGAGGAUGCAAGCGUUAUCCGGAAUGAUUGGGCGUAAAGCGUCUGUAGGUGGUUUAUUAAGUCUACUGUUAAAGAUCAGGGCUUAACCCUGAGCAGGCAAUAGAAACUAAUAAGCUAGAGUACGGUAGGGGCAGAGGGAAUUCCCGGUGUAGCGGUGAAAUGCGUAGAGAUGUGGAGGAACACCGAUGGCGAAGGCAGCCCCCUGGCCCGAUACUGACGCUGAGGCACGAAAGCGUGGGGAGCAAACAGG